CAAAUUUGUGGCUUUACCGUGUAGCAGCGACGGUCCAAAUUUGUGGCUUUACCGUGUAGCAGCGACGGGCCAAAUUUGUGGCUUCACCGUGUAGCAGCGACGGGCCAAAUUUGUGGCUUCACCGUGUAGCAGCGAAGGGCCAAAUUUGUGGCUUCACCGCGUAGCAGCGAAGGGACAAAUUUGUGGCUUCACCGUGAAGCAGCGACGGGCCAAAUUUGUGCCAUGAUAUAAACCCCCCAAAAUAGAUGAUACAUAAACUGAUCACAAAUGCUUUGAUAUAUGUUAUGAAAUGGUUUGUGUGAGGGGUGAUUGUUUCCUCAUUUUUCUCGCUUAGAGGGACCAUUAAGAAACAUGAUCCCCGCUGCUACCGGGUUAAUUGCUCUGUUUCCACACUUUUGUUAUAUGAACCACUGCCAUCACUUAUAUAACUUGGUGGAGUUCAGUUAACUGAGUUUUACUUAUAAAAAUAAUAUAUCUCAGCAAGGUGACAACAAGAGGUUAAGUAUAAAACAGGAGCCAACUUGGGUGAGUACAGGUAACUCUCGAUUUACGCGAGUAUUGUGUCCUUGAAGAGGUCGCGUAAAUCAAAAACAAUGUAAAUCAAAUGAGGUUGGUUUGUACCUUUAUUGCCUACUGUAUCACUCUGACUCCUCUCCCUCUCGUGGUUCCUCCUCUGGCUGCCCUUCCCCUCGUGGUAGCACAGCAGCGAGGGUGGUGUUGUUGUUGUUGAGUAGCGUGGCAGCGUGGGUACUGUAUUGUUGUUCAAGUGGCGUGCAGGAAGAACUGAGCUCAGCUGUGUGGCCAUGGCACCGUGUGAGUCCAGUUGCGUGAGACAUCUGGUGGCCACACCAUAAAAUAUCGCGUAUAAGUGAAAAAAACGUGUAAAUUAAACAUUUAUUUGGAUUUUGGACCCCACAUUAUUUCAAAAACACGAAAACCAAACUCGUGUAAAGCGGGAGUUACCUGUACUAUUAACAGCCACAAAGACAAGAUGGCCCAGAUAAUCACCUUGAAGGAGGCUGGCCAUGAAACCAAGGAAUUAAGUGAGGUGGUUGGUGUUGCCAAGUCAACAGUGCAGCAUUGGCGUGCUGUACAUCGCAAGGAAAAUAAUGGCAAGUUACCCGAGCCUAGUAAAAGCUCUGGUUGUCCCUGGAAGAUGUCUGUUAGAGCUGUGAAUAUGGAAGAGACUCCAAAGAACACUGUCAUAUUCACAGCCCCAACAGACAUCUUCCAGAGACAACCAGAGCUUUUACUAGGUUCUGGUAGCUUGCCAUUAUUUUCCUUGCGAUGUACAGCACACCAACGCCAAAUUGUUGACUUGGCAACAUCAACCACCUCACUUUUUUCCUUGGUUUCAUGGCCAGCCUCCUUCAAGGCAAUUAUCUGGGCUAUCUUGUCUUUGUGGCUUUUAAUAGUAUAGGCAAUACUUAACCCGGUAGCAGCCCCCAGGGAUCAUGUUUCUUAAUGGUCCCUCCAAGCGAGAAAAAUUUGAAAAAAUCACCCCUCACAAAAACCAUUUCAUAAUAUAUAUCAAAGCAUUUGUGAUCAGUUUAUGCAUCAUCUAUUUUUUUGGGUUUAAAUCAUGGCACAAAUUUGUCCCGUCGCUGCUCCAUGGUAAAGCCACAAAUUUGGCCCGUCGCUGCUACAUGUAAAAGCACAAAUUUGGCCUGUCGCUGCUACAUGGUAAAGCCACAAAUUUGUCCCGUCGCUGCUCCAUGGUAAAGCCACAAAUUUGGCCCGUCGCUGCUACCGGGUUAAAAUCAACUUUCAUUACCUGAACAACACAUAGGAAUAAGAUUUAAAAAAAUCUCUCUAUAAUUAUAGCUCUGCAUGCAUCUCCAGGGCCUCCAUCAUCUCCAGCAAUUAUGUUGAUGUUGUUUUGUUCAAGUUCUUCCUCCGGCAUGUCAAUGGGGAGCUUGUUAAGGAUGGCAAUAUUGUGCAGGAUGGCACAUGCUGUCACAAUUUUCUUGGAAGUUGAGAGUGCUGUUCUCAUAGGUGUUGAAAGGAGACCAAACCUUUUCUUCCAAAUUCCAAAUGUUUUCUCAAUUAAAUUUCUCGUUUUGAUGUGAGACUCAUUGUAAUGUUCUUCCUUGACAGUUUUAGGAACUUGAAUGGGAGUGAGAAGGUAGUUUUUACAUGGGUAUUCUGAAUCCCCCAACAAGUAUCCUCUAUACUGCCCUCUCUCCAGGGCAGCACACAAAGCAGAUUCACUGAAGAUGUGGGCAUCAUGAACACUACCCGGCCAGUUGACAACCAGAUUCGUGAAGAGCAUGGAUGAGUUACAUACACCCAUCACAUUCAAUGAAAAGAAGCCUUCCCUGCAGCGGUAUAGUUCUGCAUCUUGUCCGCCUGGACUUAUGAUAGGGAUGUGUAUGCCACCCACACAUCCAAUAACUCCAGGCAUGACAGAUAUCUGAGCAAACUGUUGCAUGGCAUCCUGUUCUUCAGCAGGACUGGGGAACUUUAUGUAGUCCACUGCUAGCUGGCAGAUUGCACUGGUCACAGUCUUAACACAGGUAGAAACACUGGGCUGUGACAUAUCACAGCAGUCCCCCAUGUCAAGCUGCAAACUCCCAGUGACAUAGUAGCGCAGGGUUACCAACAGCUGAAGAUGUGGUGGGAUUGCAAGCCCUGUGUGAAAGAAGAAAUAGAGAUUACAGUAUUGAUACAUGACAAUUUGUUUUGAUGCAACCAUUAGGAUACAUGUUACUGUAGCUAAAUGGCAAAUCAUCAUUUACACAGCCCAAAUCCAUGGCAGUUUUGCAUCUCUUGCUCAAACACACAGCCUCUGUACGAAAGAGUUGUUCUAUUUAGAUUCAUCCAGUGGAUGACUGUUUUAUUCUACAUCUCAAUCCAUUCAUAACAGAAACUCAUGUCAAAGUUGUGUCAAGAAAUAUGUGGCAUUGCAUUGCCUGUUUCAAAUCUCCACUAUAAUUUUCCUGUGUAUCAUUAUAUUGAUUUUAUUUGUGAAUGAAACACACACUGGUGGAUGAAAUAUAUAUGUAUUAAUACACAUCUUUCGUCUGC